AGGGACCCCGAGGGAGGGCAGGCUGCCCCAGGCCCUGCCCCCUCCAGGAAGCCUUCU
rnacentral:pre_miRNA from 2 species